UACGUAGGGUGCAAGCGUUGUCCGGAUUUAUUGGGCGUAAAGAGCUCGUAGGCGGUCUGUCGCGUCGGAUGUGAAAACCCAGGGCUCAACCCUGGGCCUGCAUUCGAUACGGGCAGACUAGAGUAUGGCAGGGGAGACUGGAAUUCCUGGUGUAGCGGUGAAAUGCGCAGAUAUCAGGAGGAACACCGGUGGCGAAGGCGGGUCUCUGGGCCAAAACUGACGCUGAGGAGCGAAAGCGUGGGGAGCGAUCAGG
rnacentral:rRNA from 1 species